rnacentral:rRNA from 2 species
UAAUCGUGGAUCAGAAUGCCACGGUGAAUACGUUCCCGGGCCUUGUACACACCGCCCGUCACACCAUGGGAGUGGGUUGCAAAAGAAGUAGGUAGCUUAACCUUCGGGAGGGCGCUUACCACUUUGUGAUUCAUGACUGGGGUGAAGUCGUAACAAGGUAACCGUAGGGGAACCUGCGGUUGGAUCACCUCCUUA